GACGAACGCUGGCGGCGUGCCUAAUACAUGCAAGUAGAACGCACAGUUUAUACCGUAGCUUGCUACACCAUAGACUGUGAGUUGCGAACGGGUGAGUAACGCGUAGGUAACCUGCCUGGUAGCGGGGGAUAACUAUUGGAAACGAUAGCUAAUACCGCAUAAUAUUGAUUAUUGCAUGAUAAUUGAUUGAAAGAUGCUAUUGCAUCACUACCAGAUGGACCUGCGUUGUAUUAGCUAGGAGGUGAGGUAACGGCCCAACCAGGCGAAGAUUCAUAGCCGACCUGGGAGGGUGAUCCACCCAACCGGGAAUGAGACAAGGCCCAGACUUCUACGGGAGGCAGCAGUAGGGAAUCUUCGGCAAUGGACGAAAGGCUGACCGAGCAACGCCGCGUGAGUGAAGGAGGUUGUCGGAUCGUAAAGGUCUGUUGUAAGGGAAGAACGGGUGUGAGAGUGGAAAGUUCACACUGUGACGGUAUCUUACCAGAAAGGGACGGCUAACUACGUG
rnacentral:rRNA from 1 species